AUUGAACGCUGGCGGCAGGCCUAACACAUGCAAGUCGAGCGGUUGAGGGGAGCUUGCUCCCUGAUUCAGCGGCGGACGGGUGAGUAAUGCCUAGGAAUCUGCCUAUUAGUGGGGGACAACGUUUCGAAAGGAACGCUAAUACCGCAUACGUCCUACGGGAGAAAGCAGGUGACCUUCGGGCCUUGCGCUAGUAGAUGAGCCUAGGUCGGAUUAGCUUGUUGGUGAGGUAAUGGCUCGCCAAGGCGACGAUCCGUAACUGGUCUGAGAGGAUGAUCAGUCACACUGGAACUGAGACACGGUCCAGACUCCUACGGGAGGCAGCAGUGGGGAAUAUUGGACAAUGGGCGAAAGCCUGAUCCAGCCAUGCCGCGUGUGUGAAGAAGGUCUUCGGAUUGUAAAGCACUUUAAGUUGGGAGGAAGGGUUGUAGAUUAAUACUCUGCAAUUUUGACGUUACCGACAGAAUAAGCACCGGCUAACUCUGUGCCAGCCGCCGCAGUAACAC
rnacentral:rRNA from 1 species